UACGAAGGGGGCUAGCGUUGCUCGGAAUCACUGGGCGUAAAGGGUGCGUAGGCGGGUCUUUAAGUCAGGGGUGAAAUCCUGGAGCUCAACUCCAGAACUGCCUUUGAUACUGAGGAUCUUGAGUACGGGAGGAGGUGAGUGGAACUGCGAGUGUAGAGGUGAAAUUCGUAGAUAUUCGCAAGAACACCAGUGGCGAAGGCGGCUCACUGGCCCGUAACUGACGCUGAGGCACGAAAGCGUGGGGAGCAAACAGG
rnacentral:rRNA from 1 species